GAUGAACGCUAGCGACAGGCUUAACACAUGCAAGUCGAGGGGCAGCAUAGAAGUAGCAAUACUUUGGUGGCGACCGGCGCACGGGUGAGUAACGCGUAUGCAACCUACCUAUCAGAGGGGAAUAACCCGGCGAAAGUCGGACUAAUACCGCAUAAAACAGGGGCACCGCAUGGUGAUAUUUGCUAAAGAAAUUCGCUGAUAGAUGGGCAUGCGUUCCAUUAGGUAGUUGGUGAGGUAACGGAUCACCAAGCCGACGAUGGAUAGGGGAACUGGGAGGUUGGUCCCCCACACUGGUACUGAGACACGGACCAGAGUCCUACGGUAGGCAGCAGUGAGGAAUAUUGGUCAAUGGGCGGGAGCCUGAACCAGCCAAGUCGCGUGAAGGAAGAAGGAUCUAUGGUUCGUAAACUUCUUUUGCAGGGGAAUAAAGUGCAGGACGUGUCCUGUUUUGUAUGUACCCUGAGAAUAAGGAUCGGCUAACUCCGUGCCAGCCGCCGCGGUAAAAC
rnacentral:rRNA from 1 species